rnacentral:lncRNA from 1 species
AAAUUUCGCAGCCAAAAAUAAUUAAUAAGACAUGGCCCUAUUCAAAUAUAAAAAUAAGCCCAAACACUCAUUAAAAUCGGCCCAAACCCGGCCCAAUUGAAAGAAAAUAAGGACCCAUCAGUUCAAGCCCAAAAUUCGGCCCACAUAAAAUGGCCCAAUCCUUCCUUAUCUCUCCCACUCGGUCUCUCUCUCUCUCAAACAGACGCACGCUUCUUCUCCCUCUCACUCUCGACUUCUGCCGCCUCUGUCUCCGGCCGGCGUCGACUGCCGCCGCGACUAAGCCCGGCGUUCUCCUCCCUCUCUCUAAAUCAUCUUCUCCACUUCACAGCAAAGCCCUAAAUCUAAGAAUUGAAUGGAGUUCUCAUCUUUCCCUAAAUCGAAAAUCGCCCAACUCGCUUCGACGCCACCGCGUUCUGAAAAUCCGCCGGCUGCUGUCAUCUAGGAGCGGCGCUGCUUGGAGCUGAUCGUCCUCGUCUGAAAUCGCCGCCGACUGGAGUUGCUGCUGCUCGUCCGGUGGUCAGCGCCUGCUGGAGGAGCGCCGCCGCCUUGUUGUUCCUGAGUUUCCGGCGACUAGAGUAAGAUGGCCUACGCCUCUCAUCGCGCCGCUGCUGUCCUUGGAUCGUUGCUGCUGUUCGAGGUCCCGAUGAGGUUGGGCGAGUUCGCCCUGUUCCGACCAUCGUCGUCGUCAUCGGGCAGUCAGCCCUUUCUCUCAAAGCUAAGUCUUUUUCUUACUCAAUUAUCUCGGUUCAUGUUCAGUUGGUAAUGGUCUGGGAAAAACUCUCAUAGCUUGUUGUUCUAGAGUGCAGCCUGUUUGUGAAGUUUAUAAUACGACUUAACUUGACUAUUUUGUGUAGAUGAACUGUGAUUUGCUAAUGUGGUGAGAGUUUCUCAUUGCCUUUGUCUUAUGAAAAAGUAUAUACAUGAACUGAUUUCUGAGCGUGUGUCUUGCUAAGUUCAUAAGCAUAUAUACUCGUUCUAAACUUUGUAUCCUUUACCAAAUCAUGAAUGUUGGA